GAGUUUGAUCCUGGCUCAGGACGAACGCUGGCGGCGUGCCUAAUACAUGCAAGUAGAACGCUGACUACUUUAGCUUGCUAGAGUAGAAGGAGUUGCGAACGGGUGAGUAACGCGUAGGUAACCUGCCUACUAGCGGGGGAUAACUAUUGGAAACGAUAGCUAAUACCGCAUAACAGUGUUUAACACAUGUUAGAUGCUUGAAAGAUGCAAUUGCAUCACUAGUAGAUGGACCUGCGUUGUAUUAGCUAGUUGGUGGGGUAACGGACCACCAAGGCGACGAUACAUAGCCGACCUGAGAGGGUGAUCGGCCACACUGGGACUGAGACACGGCCCAGACUCCUACGGGAGGCAGCAGUAGGGAAUCCUCGGCAAUGGGGGCAACCCUGACCGAGCAACGCCGCGUGAGUGAAGAAGGUUUUCGGAUCGUAAAGCUCUGUUGUAAGAGAAGAACGUGUGUGAGAGUGGAAAGUUCACACAGUGACGGUAACUUACCAGAAAGGGACGGCUAACUACGUGCCAGCAGCCGCGGUAAUACGUAGGUCCCGAGCGUUGUCCGGAUUUAUUGGGCGUAAAGCGAGCGCAGGCGGUUGAAUAAGUCUGAAGUUAAAGGCAGUGGCUUAACCAUUGUUCGCUUUGGAAACUGUUAAACUUGAGUGCAGAAGGGGAGAGUGGAAUUCCAUGUGUAGCGGUGAAAUGCGUAGA
rnacentral:rRNA from 1 species